rnacentral:rRNA from 1 species
CCCCUAGAUGUUCUGGGCCGCACGCGCGCUACACUGAACAGUUCAACAAGUCUUAACCUUGGCCGAUAGGUCUGGGUAAUCUUUGAACGCUGUUCGUGAUUGGGAUAGACCUUUGCAAUUAUGGGUCUUCAGCGAGGAAUUCCUAGUAAACGCAAGUCAUCAGCUUGCAUUGAUUACGUCCCUGCCCUUUGUACACACCGCCCGUCGCACCUACCGAUUGAAUGGUCCGGUGAAAUCUCGGGACGGCGGCUUGGUCGCUUGCGUCCGACUGCUGAAACUUGAUUAAACCAUAUCAUUUAGAGGAAGGUGAANUCGUAACA